UACCGUGCCGAGUGUGGUGUCAGAAAUGCCCACAAAGUUUGCAUUAGACUUGAACAACUCGUAGCACGGUUUU
rnacentral:sRNA from 12 species